CCCCCCCCCCCCCCCCCGCCCCGCUCCCCUGUCUGGUGGGGUGGGAGACCGGUGGCUGCUCCCGCCGAGCUGAGAGCCACGUAGGGCACCCCUAUGUGCUCGCUACGCAUCUGGGAUGGCGCCCCUGCCCUGAGGGCCCCGCAGAGUCCCACCCUUCCUGCAACCAGCCCCCCCAGAGCCAUUAAACCACCCACAAAUCUUGCCCCAACACCCCCACAGGCCCCAAAACGCCUCCGAGCCCUGCCGCAAUGUUGUCACUGACUCCAGACCUUCCCCUGCACUCUGUGCAAGGCCCCAAACAUUCCUCAAACUGCUGCCAGACCCAGUGCCUGCAGCAGUGAGGCGUUCUAACAAAGAUGGGGUGCGAUGUGCGUCUCCGCCUCGACUCAGUCCCGCUUUAGAGAAACAGGAAGUUACAGCACUUCCUGGUGAAGAGUGUUGACGGGUGAAUGUGCGGAUGACAAAGAGACUUUUCUCUCUUUUCUUCUGAGCCGCCUCUCAGAAGCCUCUGUGUGUGCACGAUGUGGCUGAUCUGGGAUAAUCGUGCUGUGCGCAGUGCUUAAGGAGAACAUUGCCCUAAAAUGGAGGGCUAAGGAAUAGCCUAAAAAACCUAAAAGGCUCGGGAAGAGCCAAAGAGAACACCGAUGGGCUCUGGGAAGCCCCAGUGAUGCUAGCGAAAACAGCGUGGCUUUUAGGCACCUCCUCAGAGCAGCAGCAAUGUCUCGCUCCAGCCUAUGGGACAAUGGGGACUCUUAAUUACCGCCUUGAAUUACCACAAGUGUUGCAAAAGCAGAAGGGACUAGGGAGCAUGCAGAGCAGGUUAUGGACUAUAUGUCAAGUUUAAACAAGCAACAAGCCCCUCUGCAAACAGAAACAGGUUUAGCCCUAAGUAAUAGACGAAGGUAGCUGUGAGUGACGUGAAGCGAAGCGGUGACGUCAGUCACCCCGAAAGCCUCGGAGAAGCGGUCUGAAAAUCUGGUACCCUCGCGACCUCGGCAGUCUUUUUGGUUUGUUUGGCAGGGUAGCCCACCGAAGGGGGACAUCUCGAAGAGAAGCAGCAAGACCUGGGGAUCCGGUGGUUCAUUUUGGUCGUCGCCUGUGAGGCCAGCAUGCAAGAGUAAGAGGAAGCUAGGAGCAGUCUCAAAAAGAGAUGGAACCAAGGACAGCAAAUGCUGACGAGGAGAAGAGACGGACGAGCGUUUGCUUGCGGUUAAUACCGAAGGGACGGGAUGAAACAAGGAAGCCAGAAUGCAGCGGCCCCUCGAUAUCACCAGGAACUGCUACAGGAGGAGGCGUUCUGGCACGGGUAACUAGGCUCUCCAAGCUGAAUCCUAGCCCUGAAGGAAAAAGCACUGGGGGGAGGCUACUCGGACACCUGCCACGUCGAGGGCAGGGGCAGGAGCUGACCCUUCCCCGACGGACGGACAGACGCUGGUGCGGCGGUGACUCUUUGGAUAUCGUAGGUAAGGGGAGGCACGCUGGUGCCGAGCUCCAGGGCGGUUUGCCUGAACACGAUGCCCGGGGCAGGAGGUUACGCAUUGUGUCCGGGGCUGGGAGCUGGUCCCCGAGUCCCAUGUACUUGGGAGUGCCUGCGCUUGCCAGGGAGCCCGGUGCUGUUCCCAGAGCUGUGGGGAAUUUCCCUUGCGUUGCCUGGACCCUCGGGGCUCUUGGGGGUGUUUCCCCUCAUCGCAAGGGCAGCCAGAGCCCCUCCAGGGCUGCGUGAGGUCCCCGAACCGCUCCCGGAUUUGCUUUUGGCACUCCGCAGUGUCGCUCGUGUGCCUGGGGCAGCCUGCAGGCGCCAUCCUGUCAGCCGCGUUGAGCCCUGCGGCGUGCCUGGUGACCCCUCUGGUGUGCGCCAAGGCCCUUCCUCUGUAUUUUGGUCUGCCCCAGAGCCCUGCACUUGCCCUCUGAUGCCCUCAGGACCCCUCAGUUCACAUUCUGGGUUGCCCCCGAGCCCUCUGCGUGCCUUUCGGUGCGCCCCGUGGCCCCGUGUGUGUUUUGCGGCAUGCCGCAGAGGUCUCUGUUUAGCUUUUUCUCCUGUCCUGGAGUUUUCUGGGUGCUUCUGGGUGUGCCCCAGGGCCCUCCUUUUGGUGCCCCCAGAGUCACUCUGUUUGCUCUAUCGUUCUUUUUUUUUUUUUUUUUUUUUUUUUUUUUUUUUUUUUCUUGACUUGUGUUGCACCCAGAGCUCUCGAUUUGUUCUCUUGUGCUCCGCAUACUCCCCUUUCCGCACUCUACACCCCAGGCAGGGCUCUCCCUUCAGCUCUCAGCAAGCUGCUGUCAGGAGAGUGGGGGUGCCUCUGCUGCCCUGGCAGCCCCAGCUGUCCCUGAAGGGGCUGAUGGCCAGGCCCCCUGCCCAGUUCCUGCAGGCCCACAGCUGCGGGCCCUGGGGCUGGGAUGAAUGCCAGGGGGAGCUGGGUGGCAGGACAGGCCCCAGGUGGGGCUGAUGGCAAGGGCAGGCCCACAUUUGGGGGCUGGGGCCGCAGUUGGGGGGAGCUGGCGCUGGGGCAGGAGCUGGGCAGCGGAGCUGCCGCGGAGCACGGCCCUUCGGGACCAGCCCGGCGGCCGCCCCGCGGAGGAGGUGAGCGGGGCCGGGGGAGGCGCACUGCAGGCUGCGGGUCCCGCAUGUGCCGGGGGUCCCGGCGGCUGGGAGCGUCCCGGGGCCACGGAGGCGGGGGGAGGAAGGGGGUGCGCCGGGGCUGUGGUGCGGUUUACUGCGCGGUCGGAGGAGCGCGGGGGGGGGGUCU